CCUACCUCUGGAGGUAUUGUAGGUGUGGUUGCUGUGUCACAUGUGUGUCCUUAGGUGGCAGAGAGGGGAGAGGCUGUGUCUCUGCUCAGCGUUCUGAUUUAUGGACAUCUGAAUGAUUCGUAGCCUAGCAUU